rnacentral:rRNA from 1 species
CCUACGGGUGGCAGCAGUGAGGAAUAUUGGUCAAUGGGCGCGAGCCUGAACCAGCCAAGUAGCGUGAAGGAUGACUGCCCUACGGGUUGUAAACUUCUUUUAUCAAGGAAUAAAGUGAGGCACGUGUGCCUUUUUGUAUGUACUUUCUGAAUAAGGAUCGGCUAACUCCGUUCCAGCAGCCGCGGUAAUACGGACGCUCCGAGCGUUAUCCGGAUUUAUUGGGUUUAAAGGGAGCGUAGGUGGGUUGUUAAGUCAGUUGUGAAAGUUUGCGGCUCAACCGUAAAAUUGCAGUUGAUCCUGGCAGUCUUGAGUACAGUGGAGGUAGGCAGAAUGCGUGGUGUAGCGGUGAAAUGCUUAGAUAUCACGAAGAACUCCGAUUGCGAAGGCAGCUUACUAGACUGCCACUGACAUUGAUGCUCGAAAGUGUGGGUAUCGAACAGGAUGAGAUACCCCGGUAGUC